AGUGAACGCUGGCGGUAGGCCUAACACAUGCAAGUCGAACGGCAGCACAGUAAGAGCUUGCUCUUACGGGUGGCGAGUGGCGGACGGGUGAGGAAUACAUCGGAAUCUACUUUUUCGUGGGGGAUAACGUAGGGAAACUUACGCUAAUACCGCAUACGACCUACGGGUGAAAGCAGGGGAUCUUCGGACCUUGCGCGAUUGAAUGAGCCGAUGUCGGAUUAGCUAGUUGGCGGGGUAAAGGCCCACCAAGCCGACGAUCCGUAGCUGGUCUGAGGGGAUGAUCAGCCACACUGGAACUGAGACACGGUCCAGACUCCUACGGGAGGCAGCAGUGGGGAAUAUUGGACAAUGGGCGCAAGCCUGAUCCAGCCAUACCGCGUGGGUGAAGAAGGCCUUCGGGUUGUAAAGCCCUUUUGUUGGGAAAGAAAAGCAGCAGGUUAAUACCCCGCUGUUCUGACGGUACCCAAAGAAUAAGCACCGGCUAACUUCGUG
rnacentral:rRNA from 1 species